rnacentral:lncRNA from 1 species
GUCUUGCAGGCUGGGGUCCCAGGUGAGAGAUGCCAGCAGGGAGCUCUAGAUGGGGAACUGGGUGAGCCUGGCUCGGUAAGGGCGUGCUCAGAACACCCCAUCCCCGAACACGGUCUUGUGUGAUAAAAUGUCACGCAAGAAGAAUCUGAAACCGCGAGAAGAGGAGGACACGGCCAGACUGCACCGAACCCCGGCACCUCUGUGGGGAAAAGCAGGUCAGGCUGAGCGGGGCCGGCGGGGACACGCGCUCCUGGGCUUCUCCAGAGUCUGCCGGGGCCGGGCCCGGGACCGAGGCUGGGACGCGCUGUGCAGUCCCACCCCUCACACCCCUCGCACGCCUGGAAACACCCUCGGGGUAACACAAGCCGGGGUUGAGUUUCUUGAAGAGAAGCUGGCUGCAUCCUGGAGCCAGGGAAAGAGGAGCACAGGGGCCAAGCGGUCCAGGGCCACGGAGGAGCAGGACCCCUGGGGAAAGGCCCGGGUCUAGGCCGGGGCCAGGGGACCGUGGUGGAGACCUCAAAAAUGGCAGAACACGGAAGCAGGGCGAGAAAAGUAAACGUAGUCCUUGCGGCAGUUUGAAAUACACGCGGGUAAACGCUGGGUGACUCCGCCCGGAUGCAGAGUGGGGGUCUGUGUCUCUCCCCACAGGCUGCAGGGACCGGGCUCUGGGUAACCAGCAGAAGGUAACAGAACGAGGCUGCUUUUCCUCCAGGCUGUUCUGGUGUCCGCGCGUGGCUUGUGCGCUGACUCCUGACUUGGAGCGCCGCGUGGCCAGAGAAAUCUGGGUGCCUCCAGGCCACCAUGGUGAGAGGAGAGGCCACCGCACGAACGGAAGAAGCGAUGGAGACGGUCUUUACGACCUAAGAACAGAAAGAGUUUCUUAUACACAAUCCGAAAAGUAAAAAUUGAUUGAUUGAUUGAUUGAGAUGGAAUCCCACUCUGUCGUCCAGGUUAGAGUGCAAUGGCUUGAUCUCGGCUCAUUGCAACCUCCGCCUCCCGGGUUCAAGCGAUUCUCCUGCCUCAGUCUCCCGAGUAGCUGGGAUUAUAGGCGCCCGCCACCACGACUGGCUAAUUUUUAUAUUUUUAGUAGAGACGCAGUUUCACCGUGUUGACCAGGCUGGUCUUGAACCCCUGACCUCAGGUGAUCCGCCUGCCUCGGUCUCCCAAAGUGCUGGGAUUACAGGCGUGAGCCACCGUGCUGGGCCAAAAAUCAAUUUUAAAACGACCACAUGAAAAAUAAAUCUCCUGUAUCACAGAGCAUGUUCUGAGGAAAAUGAAAGCCACAGAUCCAGAAGAUAUUUGUGACACAUAUGAAAAACAAAAACUCAUAUUCAAAACAUACACAGCAUUGCUAUGAAUCAUUAAGAAAAAUGAUUUCGUCUCCUCUACAGGAGCCUGAGUGAAGGACAAGGACAGAUCAUUAUAAACCAGGGAGCUUGAAGAGCUAGUUAACAAGCACAGAAAAUAUGUUCCCCCACACUGUUAAUCAAGAAAAUUAAAACUGUAAUGAGAUGCCGCAUUGUAUCCAUGGGAUUUCUAAAAGUACAAAGUUCCACAAUACCCGUUGUUGACGGAGCAGGGAAACCGCAGGAGCCUGCAGGAGAUGAGAUUGUAAAUGUGCAAGGACAUUUUGGAGAAGAGUUGACAACAUCUCACUCACGUGUAUCAAGCCAAGUGCCGAAAGAAGAAUUGGUUGUCAUAAAGAAAACAGAAACCCAGAAUGGAUGUAGCUUAUCCCUCCGAUGGAAAGUUACAAAGAAGUUAAAAUGAAUGGGCUGCAUCUCUGUGUAACAAUUUGGAUCAAUAUCAAAGACACAUUUGUUAAAGCAAGGUGUACAAUGAAACCUGCAACAUGAUUUGUCUGUUUAGUAAAACACAGAAAAUCUAACUCCGCCUGGCUUACGAACACACACAUGUGUUAGAAUUUGGGAAAAGGAAAGGGAGGGAGGCCGGCUACACGUGAACUUUUGGAAAAUCUCAGAGGGUCUGGGGCACCAGGUGGAGACCAUGGCAGCCUUCAGGGAUAUGAGAAGGAUGUGUUUGCUUCCCCUUCUGCCAUGAUUGGAAGUUUCCUGAGACCCCUCCAGCCAUGCUGAACUGAUUUCCUGAAGACACCAUCCCAGUCAAGUGGUCUGCCUCAUACUGAGCCACCAGACCACCCAGCAUGUCCUCACCCGCGUGGACAGAUGACAGGGGGCUCUGAGCAUGCCCCAGUGCACCUUACGCACCUGUGAAGGUUGGGAGCCUGAGUGCAGCUCCUGUGGCACUGCCCGUGGCCAGGGAGAUGCCUCCUCAGUGCUCCUGACCCUCGGUGGAGGACCGGCCAGCGUGUGUGCCGACAGUGUGUCCACACAGGUGUGCUGCGCCCAAUGGGCAAGUCGGAAACAAAGGAAAAUGCUCUCUGAAGGAAAAGGCAAAGCAAUUUGGAUUUCUGCGAGAAAAUGAGACUGCAUGUGGCACUGUAAAUACCCUUGCUGCUGAACUUCUCGCUCCCCCCAGAUACACCCUUCAUAUUGACAUGUCUAGAACCUUAAACUGAACCAAGUUGAAAAGUGAGAUUAAUUAGGGCUGAGUUAACAGUUAACACAUACAAUGAAAUAUUGAAUAAGGCUUACUGAGCAAACAAGAAUAUACAGAAGUGGAGGAGACAAAGAGGAUAUUAAAAAUGCAGACAGUGAUGAGGCAGAUAGCUGGGACAAAUAAUGAAAAAUAGUAAAGGAGAUAAGGCAGAUAUUGGAGGAGCAAAGAGUCUCUGAAAUAGAUAUCGGUAUUGAAAGAUGCUAAACACGCUUCUAAAGAGACUUUCUAGCCGACACAGGGAGCUCACUGAUGGAUGAAGUAGAAACAUUUUUAAAUGGAAUCAAACAGGGCAAAGCGGGAGAAGAAAAAGAAGUAGGUAAACCAGUAAAUUAACUUUUCUCGUGUGUGCUGUGUACUAUUUGUGAGUGAGCAAUGAACGCUGUGGCUCCCUGGAGGGGCUGUGGUGGGAAGUUUCACUGCGAUCAAGUAGAGGUGGUGCCUUUGGACCUCUUCUCCUGAACCUGCAGGGAGAGGCGCAGAAUAUUCACAAGGUGAAGAUGCAACAAUUCAAAUGAGUGUCCAGGUUUUCAGGGUGGUUGCUAAACCCCAAAAGACCGAUAGCUUCGGGCAAAAGACUGCAGAAAGAACAGCUUUACAUUUUUACGGAAGCAAUGGGAAAUAUACCCUGUAAGCCUUGAAAAAUUCCCGAAGGGAUUCCUGUUCAUUCCUGUGGAUCCUAAUGGGCCAGCAUAGACCUGUUAGUCAAAAGAGGAUUUAUCUACAUUGCACACUCAUUCAGGCAGGCAGGGAAGUCAACGCCACUUUCAGAUGUUUGUAGAGCAUGAACUCUGUCCGUUCCCACGCCCUCCAAAGGCUGUUACACAGGGAUGCCCGCUUCUGGACAGAAGUGAUUCAUGCAGGAUGAGAACCAUGACCACAGAAGAUUUUGUGCAUGUGGUUAUUUCAAUAUUUAAUUUAAGUGUAUGCAUGAGUGUUCAGGAUAAAAAUGCUUGGAGUGUACUUUAAUUCCAUUAAAAAUGUAUACAUUA